GAACAAGCCUUGCCUUUGGGUAACGGGCUUCCGGGUGCGCCCUGGCCGGCUGUGUGCGCGCGGAAGGCGGUCACCUGGGCCCCCUGGGCGCGCGCGCCGCCCGCCCGCCCGCCUGCCCCGCGCGCACCUGCAGGAGGCUCUGGCGCGCUCCCUCCCUCCCUGGCUGCGCUGCGAAGGGCGCGGGAGAGGGGGAUUCUAGCAGCGCUGAAUCACUUUCCCACAGCCUCUGCGUGGGGAGCGCUUCCUCUGAUGCACGCCCUAUUUGUACUUCCUGAGUGCGCGUGGACUGCGGGCCCUGCUCGCCGCAGACUUGCCCGAAAUAGCAGCGCGCGGGCUCGGCUCCCCGCGCCGCCCGCAGCAUCUGCCUCCCCCUCCCGCCUCGUGGGCAACCGGGCGCGGCUGAGUCACGGUGACACUGAGUCACUCGCCAGCGUCAGGAAAUGCCUUUUUUAGACUUCCAGUUUGAAAUGGAGCAGCAGGAAGAAGAAACAGAGCGCUCCCGGGAAAUGUUGAAAAAGCAGAGCCCCAUUCAUCACAGCACAGGUUGAAGAGACCAGCUCUCCCCGAUAUUGGCAGAAUUUCCAUCACAGGAAUAAGCUUUUGAAAAGCAAACUGACAGAUGAGAGCAGUGAAAUCCACUGAGUGGGCCGUGGAGAACAGCUGUGUUUGAGAGGCAUCUCAGCGAUGUGAAUGAGGCCAGGAGGAGCCAUGAAGACGGCACUGCCUGUGGGGCCCCCGAUAAAUGAUGGCACUGAGCAAUUGGCAGGACUGUGGGCAUGGGAGGGGUCCCUAGGCCCCACCCCCCUCUGCUCCUGUUUGUGUAAUUAACAGCCCGCUUCCUAUCAGGUGCUCUGCCUUCAGUGCUCUCUGCUGCGGCUCUUACCAGCGAGGACUGGAGGGGCGGCUCCUUUACCUGCCCUGUCCUGGUUUUUGCUCCCGCCUGCCCCGUGAGCCAGGGGAUGCACUCACAGCUGCUCUUUUUGAUGUAUAAAGUGUGUUUGAACAUUAUGCCAAAUAUCAAAAUGUGAAGGACUAAUCCAGGAUGCAAAAACGUUAUGGGGGGUUGUAAAUACGAACUAUACAACAGUUUAGGAUGCAAUUAUGAGUGUAAACUGUGUGCCUUAUUUAUACUUCAUUGUCUCCAGCUUCUCAGAUAAAGUUUUGAUGUGUUGUACAGUGGAAUAUCUUAGAUACUUUUUGGAAAGUUUUUACAUAAGUU